rnacentral:tRNA from 1 species
AUCGUAACGGUUCAACUGGUACAGCACCAGCCUGGUAGGCUGGUUGUCUUCGGUUCGAUUCUGGCUUGCGAAG